GACGGGGGAUGCAAGCGUUAUCCGGAAUCACUGGGCGUAAAGCGUCUGUAGGUGGUGAUGCAAGUCACUGGUGCAAAACUCUGGCUCAACCGGAGGAAAGCCAGUGAAACUGCAUGACUAGAGUGUGGGAGAGGUAGAAGGAAUUCCCUGAGUAGCGGUGAAAUGCGUAGAUACAUGGAAGAACACCGGAGGCGAAAGCGUGCUACUGGAACACAACUGACACUGAGAGACGAAAGCGAGGGGAACGAAUGGG
rnacentral:rRNA from 1 species